UACGUAGGUGGCAAGCGUUGUCCGGAAUUAUUGGGCGUAAAGCGCGCGCAGGCGGUCCUUUAAGUCUGAUGUGAAAGCCCACGGCUCAACCGUGGAGGGUCAUUGGAAACUGGGGGGACUUGAGUGCAGGAGAGAAGAGUGGAAUUCCACGUGUAGCGGUGAAAUGCGUAGAGAUGUGGAGGAACACCAGUGGCGAAGGCGACUCUUUGGCCUGUAACUGACGCUCAGGCGCGAUAGCGUGGGGAUCAAACAGG
rnacentral:rRNA from 1 species